rnacentral:rRNA from 1 species
UACAGAGGCCACAAGCGUUAGUCGGAAUCACUGGGCUUAAAGGGUGCGUAGGCGGGCCCGCAAGCGUCUUGUGAAAUCCCAUGGCUCAACCAUGGAAUUGCAGGGCGAACUGCGGGUCUUGAGGCAGGUAGGGGCCGGAAGAACAGUAGGUGGAGCGGUGAAAUGCGUAGAUAUCUACUGGAAUGCCGAUGGGGAAGCCGUCCGGCUGGGCCUGUCCUGACGCUGAGGCACGAAAGCGUGGGGAGCAAACAGG